GUCUUUUUGUGAGUGAGAAAAAGUCAAACCUGCCCACUGAUUUUUUAAGGGCCGCGGUAUUUUGACCGUGCGAAGGUAGCAUAAUCAUUAGUUUUUUAAUUGGAAUCUUGUAUGAAUGGUUAGACAAAAGAAAGUCUGUCUCUUUAUUAAAAAAUUGAAUUUAACUUUUAAGUGAAAAGGCUUAAAUAAGUUAAAGGGACGAUAAGACCCUAUAAAGUUUGAUAUAGAGUAUUAUUUAAUUGAAUUGAAAUUAAAAAUUUUAUAAUACAGUUUAUUUUUUUGGGGUGAAAAAGGUAAAAUGUUCAGUAACUGCUAUAAAUAUAAUACAUGUUAGUUGAAAUAAGUUUUUAAAAGAUCCAAAAUAAAGAUUAUAAGUUUAAGUUACUUUAGGGAUAACAGCGUUAUUUUUUUUGAGAGUACAUAUCGAAAAAAAAGUUUGCGACCUCGAUGUUGAAUUAAAAUUUCUUUAUAGAAGCAGAAACUAUAAAAGUUGGUCUGUUCGACCUUUAAAAUUUUACAUGAUUUGAGUUCAAACCGGCGUAAG
rnacentral:rRNA from 1 species